rnacentral:rRNA from 1 species
UACAGAGGUCUCAAGCGUUGUUCGGAAUCACUGGGCGUAAAGGGUGUGUAGGCUGCGUGUUAAGUCAGAUGUGAAAGCCCGGGGCUCAACCCCGGAACUGCAUCCGAUACUGGCAUGCUCGAGAAUUGGAGAGGAGUCUAGAAUUCACGGUGUAGCAGUGAAAUGCGUAGAUAUCGUGAGGAAUACCAAGUGCGAAGGCAGGACUCUGGACAUUUUCUGACGCUGAGACACGAAGGCCAGGGGAGCAAACGGG